rnacentral:sRNA from 1 species
AAUUGGGAAACCAAUUUCUACUCUUUGAAAAGCCAUUAAAGGACGAAGAUAGGNCAAGCUAGAAAGGGNGCAUCCCUUUUGCCUUGGCAUCAAGAGCCGAUGAAGGACGUGAUAAGCUGCUAUAAGCUUCGGGUAGGCGCACAUAGACUGAGAUUCUUAGAUCUCCGAAUGAGGUAACUCACAUGGUGAAACCCCCUGUAUCAUUAAGUGAAUACAUAGCUUAAUGAAGGUGACCCAGGGAACUGAAUACAUCUAAGUACCUGGAGGAAGAAAAAGAAAAAUCGAUUUUCUUACUUGCGGCGAGCGAAAGGGAAAGAGCCCAAACCGGAAACUUGUUUCCGGGGUUGUGGACAUAUCAUAAAACUGGAGGCUAUUGUAACUGAAGAGAACUGGAUAGUUCCACCGUAGAAGGUAAUAUUCCUGUCAAGUGAAACAAGAAGACCACGAGUUAUGAUCCAGAGUACCACGAGACACAUUGAAACCUUGUGGGAAUCACGGCGGACCACCUCCCAAGGCUUAGUUCUACCUGAUGAUCGAUAGUGAAGCAGUACCGUGAGGGAAAGGUGACAAAAACCCAGGGAGGGGAGUGAAAUAGAUCUUGAAAUCGUGUGCCUACAACCGCUCUCAGCCACUUAAGAGGGUGAUGAGGUGCUUUUAGUAAAACGAGCGCAACUGCUUACGGUAUGUUGCACGGUUAAGUACUUAACGUACGGAGCCUACGGGAAACCGAUUCUGACUAAGGCGACUCGUUGCAUGCCGUUGACCCGAUACCGGGUGACCUAUCCUUGGCCUAGUUGAGGCGAGAGAAAACCUCGUGGAAGACCCAACCACAUUGCUGUUGAAAUGGCAUAGGAUGAGCUGUUAAUUUCGGAUUAAUUUCUUAUUCAACCCAGAUAAUUCUGGUUCUCUCCAAAAUAACUUUAAGGCCAGCCCCAAGAUUUAAAAAGGUCGGUCAAUCAAAGAAAGGGCCUAGAGGGAAAUCCCUUUCCAAACCCUUUCAACCUCUUAAAGCCCAAAAUUUUGCCCUGGCCAUUUUCAAAUAAAUUUAGAGAUCCCCGGGCCCCAGGGAAAAAACCCGUAUUUUCCCAUUAGGCCCCANAGUGUAACUAAAGUGCGAAAAGUGGGUGGAUUUCUUAAAAAAUACCGAUGUGGGUUAAUAACCCCCUUUCUUUAAAAAAG